CUUGGUCGAGGAAGCAGCCGAGGAUCACAUAGACGAUCAGGAUCAGGAUCAACACGCCGAGCGGCGGCAGGUCGAAAUACCGAAUGCCCGCGAGCAGCAUCUGCGGCAGCGUCGAGGU
rnacentral:misc_RNA from 1 species